UACGGAGGGGGCUAGCGUUGUUCGGAAUUACUGGGCGUAAAGCGCACGUAGGCGGCUUUGUAAGUUAGAGGUGAAAGCCCAGGGCUUAACCCUGGAAUUGCCUUUAAGACUGCAUCGCUAGAAUCGUGGAGAGGUGAGUGGAAUUCCGAGUGUAGAGGUGAAAUGCGCAGAUAUCGGGAAGAACACCCGUGGCGAAGGCGGCACUCUGGGACGGUACUGACGCUGAGACGCGAAAGCGUGGGGAGCGAACAGG
rnacentral:rRNA from 1 species